UCCUAGCCCUGAUAGAAACGAUAUCCUUUUUGUUUUGUUUUUUCGACAAACAAAAAGAUAAAGUGGAUAGCAGGAAAUAGC
rnacentral:sRNA from 1 species